GGCCUGGUGGUCUAGUAGUAUGAUUCCUUCUUAGGGUAUCUCAAAUGGAGGAGGUCCCGGGUUCAAUUCCCGGCCAGGCCC
rnacentral:tRNA from 1 species